rnacentral:rRNA from 1 species
CCCUUAGAUGUUCUGGGCCGCACGCGCGCUACACUGACGAAUGCAACGAGCUUAUAACCUUGGCCGAAAGGUCUGGGUAAUCUCCAAAUUUCGUCGUGAUGGGGAUAGAUUAUUGCAAUUAUUAAUCUUCAACGAGGAAUGCCUAGUAAGCGCAAGUCAUCAGCUUGCGUUGAUUACGUCCCUGCCCUUUGUACACACCGCCCGUCGCUCCUACCGAUUGAACGGUCCGGUGAAGCGUUCGGACCGUGGCCUUUGGACGGUUCGCCGUCUGUUGGCUGCGGGAAGUUCGUUAAACCUUAUCAUUUAGAGGAAGGAGAAGUCGUAACA